UUUAUAUAAAAUCUUUAAAGUUUCUUUACAUCAAAAUCUCUUAAAACUCUUGAACCAAACAACCUCAAAAUAUCCCAAUCUUCCUUUGGACCGCUAGUAAGCAACAACUUUAGAACCAAAGAAUUAUUAUUAUUAUUUUUUUCCUUGGCACCAAAGAAUUAUUUUAUUAUUUAUAUAUAUAAAAAAAGUUGCUUCAAAACACUACAAAUAGACCAGUAGAUCGACCACAAGGACCAAACCCAAAGGGCAACCCUCUUUGUAAAUGUUUGUCUUUCAUUUUUGUUUGUGUGUGUGUUUUUACUUUUUGCGCUUAGCAAAGUUUUGCACAUGUUUUCUUACCGUACAUUUCUGCAACAAGGUUGACAGAAGGCCAGAGACAUAUCUAUAGAUCGUUCACCAAUAUCCAUAGAGGUACCUAACUUCACGCGACAACCUUGCCUAUGUAGAUAGUCAGACAUGGAGUGGCAGUCAUAACCAAAAAAAUAAAGAAAUGCUCUAUACAAUGGUUGUAUUCACCCUCAGUUAAAGUUGUAGGUAGAGAUCAAUACAUAGAGAGGUAUACCCAUAACGUUGGCACGAAACAGAAUUGGGUCGUUGAUAUGAGUCUCUAGCUACUUUUCCAAGAGAGGGUGAAUGCGGUUAUUGUAUAAAGUAUUUCUUGUUUUUAUUAUGACUGUCAAUCCAA